rnacentral:tRNA from 1 species
GGCAAAGCGGCAUCUACCGUUAGAGGUACGGCCAUAAUGCCGGGGUCGAGGGUUCGAGUCCCUCCCUUUCCACCA